rnacentral:rRNA from 1 species
GACGAACGCUGGCGGCGUGCUUAACACAUGCAAGUCGAACGGAAAGGCCCUGCUUUUGUGGGGUGCUCGAGUGGCGAACGGGUGAGUAACACGUGAGUAACCUGCCCUUGACUGUGGGAUAACUUCAGGAAACUGGGGCUAAUACCGGAUAGGAGCUCCUGCUGCAUGGUGGGGGUUGGAAAGUUUCGGCGGUUGGGGAUGGACUCGCGGCUUAUCAGCUUGUUGGUGGGGUAGUGGCUUACCAAGGCUUUGACGGGUAGCCGGCCUGAGAGGGUGAACGGCCACAUUGGGACUGAGAUACGGACCAGACUCCUACGGGAGGCAGCAGUGGAGAAUAUUGCAGAAUGGGCGGAAGUCUGAUGCAGCAACGCCGCGUGCGGGAUGACGGCCUUCGGGUUGUAAACCGCUUUCGACUGUGACGAAGCGUGAGUGACGGUAAUGGGUAAAGAAGCACCGGCUAACUACGUG